rnacentral:siRNA from 1 species
CAUUUACAACCAAUUGGUUUUGC